AGAACUGGCAGACUAGAGUCUUGGAGAGGGGAGUGGAAUUCCAGGUGUAGCGGUGAAAUGCGUAGAUAUCUGGAGGAACAUCAGUGGCGAAGGCGACUCCCUGGCCAAAGACUGACGCUCAUGUGCGAAAGUGUGGGUAGCGAACAGGAUUAGAUACCCUGGUAGUCCACACCGUAAACGCUGUCUACUAGCUGUGUGUGCCUUUAAGGCGUGCGUAGCGAAGCUAACGCGCUAAGUAGACCGCCUGGGGAGUACGGCCGCAAGGUUAAAACUCAAAUGAAUUGACGGGGGCCCGCACAAGCGGUGGAGCAUGUGGUUUAAUUCGAAGCAACGCGCAGAACCUUACCAACCCUUGACAUACUUGUCGCGAUUUCCAGAGAUGGAUUUCUUCAGUUCGGCUGGACAAGAUACAGGUGCUGCAUGGCU
rnacentral:rRNA from 1 species